AACGCUGGCGGCAGGCUUAACACAUGCAAGUCGAACGCCCCGCAAGGGGAGUGGCAGACGGGUGAGUAACGCGUGGGAAUCUACCUAGUUCUACGGAACAACAGUUGGAAACGACUGCUAAUACCGUAUACGCCCUACGGGGGAAAGAUUUAUCGGAAUUAGAUGAGCCCGCGUAAGAUUAGCUAGUUGGUGGGGUAAUGGCCUACCAAGGCGACGAUCUUUAGCUGGUCUGAGAGGAUGAUCAGCCACACUGGGACUGAGACACGGCCCAGACUCCUACGGGAGGCAGCAGUGGGGAAUAUUGGACAAUGGGCGCAAGCCUGAUCCAGCCAUGCCGCGUGAGUGAUGAAGGCCUUAGGGUUGUAAAGCUCUUUCAGUAGGGAAGAUAAUGACGGUACCUACAGAAGAAGCCCC
rnacentral:rRNA from 1 species